GGUUAAGCGACUAAGCGUACACGGUGGAUGCCCUGGCAGUCAGAGGCGAUGAAGGACGUGCUAAUCUGCGAUAAGCGUCGGUGAGGUGAUAUGAACCGUUAUAACCGGCGAUUUCCGAAUGGGGAAACCCAGUGUGUUUCGACACACUAUCAUUAACUGAAUCCAUAGGUUAAUGAGGCGAACCGGGGGAACUGAAACAUCUAAGUACCCCGAGGAAAAGAAAUCAACCGAGAUUCCCCCAGUAGCGGCGAGCGAACGGGGAGGAGCCCAGAGCCUGAAUCAGUGUGUGUGUUAGUGGAAGCGUCUGGAAAGGCGUGCGAUACAGGGUGACAGCCCCGUACACAAAAAUGCACAUAUUGUGAGCUCGAUGAGUAGGGCGGGACACGUGGUAUCCUGUCUGAAUAUGGGGGGACCAUCCUCCAAGGCUAAAUACUCCUGACUGACCGAUAGUGAACCAGUACCGUGAGGGAAAGGCGAAAAGAACCCCGGCGAGGGGAGUGAAAAAGAACCUGAAACCGUGUACGUACAAGCAGUGGGAGCCUCUUAAUGGGGUGACUGCGUACCUUUUGUAUAAUGGGUCAGCGACUUAUAUUCUGUAGCAAGGUUAACCGAAUAGGGGAGCCGAAGGGAAACCGAGUCUUAACUGGGCGUUAAGUUGCAGGGUAUAGACCCGAAACCCGGUGAUCUAGCCAUGGGCAGGUUGAAGGUUGGGUAACACUAACUGGAGGACCGAACCGACUAAUGUUGAAAAAUUAGCGGAUGACUUGUGGCUGGGGGUGAAAGGCCAAUCAAACCGGGAGAUAGCUGGUUCUCCCCGAAAGCUAUUUAGGUAGCGCCUCGUGAAUUCAUCUCCGGGGGUAGAGCACUGUUUCGGCAAGGGGGUCAUCCCGACUUACCAACCCGAUGCAAACUGCGAAUACCGGAGAAUGUUAUCACGGGAGACACACGGCGGGUGCUAACGUCCGUCGUGAAGAGGGAAACAACCCAGACCGCCAGCUAAGGUCCCAAAGUCAUGGUUAAGUGGGAAACGAUGUGGGAAGGCCCAGACAGCCAGGAUGUUGGCUUAGAAGCAGCCAUCAUUUAAAGAAAGCGUAAUAGCUCACUGGUCGAGUCGGCCUGCGCGGAAGAUGUAACGGGGCUAAACCAUGCACCGAAGCUGCGGCAGCGACGCUUAUGCGUUGUUGGGUAGGGGAGCGUUCUGUAAGCCUGUGAAGGUGUGCUGUGAGGCAUGCUGGAGGUAUCAGAAGUGCGAAUGCUGACAUAAGUAACGAUAAAGCGGGUGAAAAGCCCGCUCGCCGGAAGACCAAGGGUUCCUGUCCAACGUUAAUCGGGGCAGGGUGAGUCGACCCCUAAGGCGAGGCCGAAAGGCGUAGUCGAUGGGAAACAGGUUAAUAUUCCUGUACUUGGUGUUACUGCGAAGGGGGGACGGAGAAGGCUAUGUUGGCCGGGCGACGGUUGUCCCGGUUUAAGCGUGUAGGCUGGUUUUCCAGGCAAAUCCGGAAAACCAAGGCUGAGGCGUGAUGACGAGGCACUACGGUGCUGAAGCGACAAAUGCCCUGCUUCCAGGAAAAGCCUCUAAGCAUCAGGUAACAUCAAAUCGUACCCCAAACCGACACAGGUGGUCAGGUAGAGAAUACCAAGGCGCUUGAGAGAACUCGGGUGAAGGAACUAGGCAAAAUGGUGCCGUAACUUCGGGAGAAGGCACGCUGAUAUGUAGGUGAAGCGACUUGCUCGUGGAGCUGAAAUCAGUCGAAGAUACCAGCUGGCUGCAACUGUUUAUUAAAAACACAGCACUGUGCAAACACGAAAGUGGACGUAUACGGUGUGACGCCUGCCCGGUGCCGGAAGGUUAAUUGAUGGGGUUAGCGGCAACGCGAAGCUCUUGAUCGAAGCCCCGGUAAACGGCGGCCGUAACUAUAACGGUCCUAAGGUAGCGAAAUUCCUUGUCGGGUAAGUUCCGACCUGCACGAAUGGCGUAAUGAUGGCCAGGCUGUCUCCACCCGAGACUCAGUGAAAUUGAACUCGCUGUGAAGAUGCAGUGUACCCGCGGCAAGACGGAAAGACCCCGUGAACCUUUACUAUAGCUUGACACUGAACAUUGAGCCUUGAUGUGUAGGAUAGGUGGGAGGCUUUGAAGUGUGGACGCCAGUCUGCAUGGAGCCGACCUUGAAAUACCACCCUUUAAUGUUUGAUGUUCUAACGUGGGCCCCUAAUCGGGGUUGCGGACAGUGUCUGGUGGGUAGUUUGACUGGGGCGGUCUCCUCCUAAAGAGUAACGGAGGAGCACGAAGGUUGGCUAAUCCUGGUCGGACAUCAGGAGGUUAGUGCAAUGGCAUAAGCCAGCUUGACUGCGAGCGUGACGGCGCGAGCAGGUGCGAAAGCAGGUCAUAGUGAUCCGGUGGUUCUGAAUGGAAGGGCCAUCGCUCAACGGAUAAAAGGUACUCCGGGGAUAACAGGCUGAUACCGCCCAAGAGUUCAUAUCGACGGCGGUGUUUGGCACCUCGAUGUCGGCUCAUCACAUCCUGGGGCUGAAGUAGGUCCCAAGGGUAUGGCUGUUCGCCAUUUAAAGUGGUACGCGAGCUGGGUUUAGAACGUCGUGAGACAGUUCGGUCCCUAUCUGCCGUGGGCGCUGGAGAACUGAGGGGGGCUGCUCCUAGUACGAGAGGACCGGAGUGGACGCAUCACUGGUGUUCGGGUUGUCAUGCCAAUGGCACUGCCCGGUAGCUAAAUGCGGAAGAGAUAAGUGCUGAAAGCAUCUAAGCACGAAACUUGCCCCGAGAUGAGUUCUCCCUGACUCCUUGAGAGUCCUGAAGGAACGUUGAAGACGACGACGUUGAUAGGCCGGGUGUGUAAGCGCAGCGAUGCGUUGAGCUAACCGGUACUAAUGAACCGUGAGGCUUAACCUU
rnacentral:rRNA from 1 species